GUGGUUGAUUACAAUAUAUUUUUGUUUUGUUUUUGGAGAGGAAGAAAGUUUGUGAUGGGGGACUAGCAAACUGAUUAAUAUUUUGGAGCUUAUAAAAUGUGUAUGAAAGCUUCCCUCUCUGAGAUAGAUCUAGUUCUGGAUUUUAUCUGAUUUUCAUGACCUGGGGGACUCAUGUGGUCAAGAAAAUUUCCCAAGAUCCUGAUAGUUUAUGUCUUAACUUAUAUUACCUCUGGUCUUUUAGUGCCUCAGCUGUGGAAGCUCCUCUGUACGGAAGAAACUAUGAAGUUUAUCUCCACAAGUCUGAGCUGGAGCUGUCAAAAAAAAAAAAAAAAAGAGAGAGAGAGAAAAGAAAAGAAAGGCUGCUGGAUUCACCCUGCAUCGGCUGCAGAGGGCGCUGUGAACAUUGAGAAGAGACAUAGUCUUGGCGAUAACCAGAGAGAAGAAAAGAGGUGCAAAUGGUUGUGAUGAGGAUCUUUGUAUUUGCUGAGAGAUGGAGGGGUUAUAAACAGAGCCUGCCGUGGAGUAAGCCCUGUUUUUUCCUGAUCCUGAGGAUCUGUUUACUGCUUCUAACAGGAAAACAGUGUCAAGAGACAUCUAUUUAUAUGCUUGUUAUUCACUUCCCUCGGGACCUGCCUUAAUUUCUGUUGGCUUUUUUUUCUGUGCUAGUUGAAAUAAUAUCUUUUCUUUGCUUUAAAACUCUC
rnacentral:lncRNA from 1 species